GCGGAUAAGAGGAGCGGCGACCCACUUUAAAGCAACAUUGCCAACAGAGACUUCAAAAGAUCCGUGACUAAAGCAAGGACAACGCAGCGAUCGCGAUAUGCCUCGGCAUGUGGCAAUUGCCCUGCUAAGGCGUGCAUCCGGAGGCACUUGGGCUGCCUCUGCGCUGAAAUUGCAUCCUCGAAGAUGUAAUGGACGCUCGCAAAAAUCACACGCGAUUGCCUUUUGUCAUUAGCGUAUCCUGCAGAUUGCGUUCCGGUAUGCGCAGGCUCUGUUCGUCCGCUCACUUGACAGAUGGAGAAAAUGGCUCUGGAAUGGAGAGGGCAUUUAAUAUUCCAGCUGCCUGUCCAACAUGCUGAGACGCCUCCACCAGGUGCAGGACAGUACACAUUGCUCUGUCUAAAUGGUAAGCUAAGCAACCCACAGGUAGUGCGAGGUCAGUGUUUUCGUGGUUGGUUGUUGCCCAUUAGGGGCCCUAAGAGCAAAAAAAAAAUGUGGGGACCACCUUUCAAUUCGUAAUACCCUCGUGAGAUGACAGAUGAUACAUAGACAAGACCGAGAUAUGUAGUGAGAUAAAAACAAAUCUAGAAAAAAACAUCGUGAGAUAAGAAAAGGGAUAUGAAGACGAUGUACAGAUGAAAGAGAUGAAUUGGCAUCAUGUUAAUUUGGUAGGUAUCUUUUUUAGAAUUUUAAUUGGAGCUGACAUUCGACAUACCAUAAUACUUUUUAAUGAAUUAAUGGCCUCUUGAGCUGUUUGGGCCCCUGAGAUUUUGACUAGAACCACCACUGCAUGUUAUGAUUCACCUCCCCAGGGAUUUGCAGGCCUGUGAUGAUUCAGGAUCAUUAUUCACUUCGACAUUUAACUUUUUUGGUCAAAUUUUUUUGCAUCCCAAAUGUAUUGUUUCUCAUUUUUGUUCCCGUCUCAUAUGUAGAGUUUUCUUCAUCUUUUUACCCUAAAUGUAACAUCGGCAUGUCAUCUGCAUACUGUUAGUAAGUAAUAAAUUGCUAUGCACAAAAUUC